GGGACGGUCGCCGGUGUGCACCCGCUGGUGGGACAGCAGCUUGGUGGAGCAGGUGAAGCCCUUGCCGCACUGGGUGCAGGUGAAGGGGCGCUCGCUGGUGUGGGUGCGCUAGUGCAACAGCAGGCUGUGGGAUUGGGUGAAGCCCUUGCUACACUGGGCGCAGGUGUAGGGGCGCUCGCCGGUGUGGGUGCGCUGGUGCAACAACAGGUUGCUGGACUGGGUGAAGCCCUUGCCGCACUGGGCGCAGGUGUAGGGGCGCUUGCCAGUGUGGGUUCGCUGGUGCUCCAGCACGUGACUAGACUGGGUGAAGUCCUUGCUGCACAGGGCGCAGGUGUAGGGGCGCUCGCCGGUGUGGAUGCGCUGGUGGGAGAGCAGGUUGCUGGAGGAGGUGAAUCCCUUGCCGCUCUGGGUGCAGGUAUAGUGGCGCUCACCGGUGUGGGGUGCUGGUAUUGCAGCAGGCUGCUGGAAUGGGUGAAGUCCUUGCCGCACUGGGCGCAGGUGUAGGGGCGCUCCCCUGUGUGGGUGUACUGGUGCUGCUUCAGCUCUGGCGACGACUUGAAGCCUUUGCCGCAGUCGGAGCAGGUGAAGGGCCGCUAACUGCUGUGCACCCUCUGGUGGUUCCUCAGCCCCGACAACUGGGCAA